rnacentral:hammerhead_ribozyme from 1 species
AUCCAGCUGACGAGUCCUGAACAGAACGAAAGGUGCGUCUUGAAU